CCUACGGGAGGCAGCAGUGAGGAAUAUUGGUCAAUGGAGGCAACUCUGAACCAGCCAUGCCGCGUGCAGGAUGACGGCCUAUGGAUUGUAAACUGCUUUUGUACGGGAAGCGGUACCGUAAGAAUAAGGAUCGGCUAACUCCGUGCCAGCAGCCGCGGUAAUACGGAGGAUCCGAGCGUUAUCCGGAAUUAUUGGGUUUAAAGGGUUCGUAGGCGGUUGAGUAAGUCAGUGGUGAAAUCUUAUAGCUUAACUAUAAAAUUGCCGUUGAUACUGCUUGACUUGAAUAGUAUGGAAGUAAUUAGAAUAUGUAGUGUAGCGGUGAAAUGCUUAGAUAUUACAUGGAAUACCAAUUGCGAAGGCAGAUUACUACGUCUAUUGACGCUGAUGAACGAAAGCGUGGGUAGCGAACAGGAUUAGAUACCCUUGUAGUC
rnacentral:rRNA from 1 species